rnacentral:rRNA from 1 species
AGCAGUCGCCACGGGAAUACAGAGGGUGCGAGCGUUAAUCGGAUUUACUGGGCGUAAAGCGUGCGUAGGCGGCUAAUUGAGUCGGAUGUGAAAUCCCCGAGCUUAACUUGGGAAUUGCAUUCGAUACUGGUUAGCUAGAGUGUGGGAGAGGAUGGUAGAAUUCCAGGUGUAGCGGUGAAAUGCGUAGAGAUCUGGAGGAAUACCGAUGGCGAAGGCAGCCAUCUGGCCUAACACUGACGCUGAGGUACGAAAGCAUGGGGAGCAAACAGGAUUAGAUACCCCGGUAGUCCCUGUCUCUUAUAC